UUUUUUGUUUUGUUUUGUUUUGUUUUUUGUUUUUUGUUUUUUUUUAGUUCCCCAUGCUCUGGUGUUUGUUCUCUCCCCAGUAGUUGUUUUUGUCUGGUCUCAUGGAGUUUCUCAUGGAGAAAGUUCAGUUUAAUAUUUAGCUAAAGACUUGAAGGAACCCACAUGCAGAUUUCUGGAGCUCCCUUUGCACCUAGUCCUAUCUUCUCUGAUACCUAGUCUGCCACACAUGUUCUUGUCACUUCAGUACCUCAAACAUCAAUCUUUGUUUCCUUACCUCAAUGAAACUGUGUCUUGAUGCUUCCUCUCUCUGUACUGCUGCCAGAAAAGUGCUUCCAUAAGAAAACUGAGGCAGUGACGGAUCUUGCAUUACCUGUUUCCAUUUGCUCUUGGGGAUCAUAGUUUUCUGCUGCUUGUUCUUCAGAUUUGGAAAUAAUUAUUCCAUUUGAUUUUCCAGGUUUUACAUUAUGUAUAGCCAGUUAUCCUGCCAUGAUUAAAAAUGAAAAUCACCACAUGCACACUAUAGAAAAUUAAGUUUAUUUUUAUUAUACAGCCAACAUUUACUUAGAUUUACCCACAUUGUUAAAUGUUUCACGUUUUUUUGUCAUUUUCUGCAUGUCUGGUAUUACAUUUUGGAUGCUUUUUUUCUUCUGCUUGAAGAAUAACCUUUAGUGUUUCCUUUACUAUGGUUCUAUCGGUGACAGAAUCACUCAGCGUUCGUUAUCCUCCAGAUGUAUUUAAUUCAUCUUCAUUUUUGAAUGAUGCUUUUCAUAUAGGAGGAAUAAUGAGGCUAUGAAUUAAAUUAAUGGUUAUUUCUCAAAUUGCUAGAUUAAACAGAAAUUUAGUUAUAUUGAUAAAAUAGCUUUCCAGGGAUGACAUAAAAGUUUUAGGGCAAUCUAUGAUUGAGUAGUCUCUAAUUAUGUCUUCAUCAAAGAUUUUGAAGCCUUAUGUUUUUGUUUUCUCUCUGGUCUUGCAUCAUGCAAAUAAGUGUGCUAAUUUACUUUUAAAUUUUAUUUUCCAACAUUUUUCUCACAAAAUGUUCAAGUAUAUAGAAAAUUUGAGUACAAUAAAUAAUGAUAUAUGCCCUAAAUAGUUUCAGCAGAUUUUAGCAUUUUUUGCUUUGUCUAAAUUAUAUAGGUAAUAAAUCAACUAUAUACAAUUAUAUAUUUAAGCUUUUCUUAAAUUUUAUUGUCACUGCAGUAUCCUGUGAAAGUAAGAUAUAGACAUUAUGAUAGUUCGUUGUCAAAUACCUCCACAAUCGUUAUGCUAAGAGCAAAAUCUUUUGUACAACCACAUUAAUUUUUUUUAAGAUUUUAUUUAUUUAUUCAUGUGAGAAUACAU
rnacentral:lncRNA from 1 species